rnacentral:rRNA from 1 species
AUUGAACGCUGGCGGAAUGCUUUACACAUGCAAGUCGAACGGCAGCACGGACUUCGGUCUGGUGGCGAGUGGCGAACGGGUGAGUAAUGUAUCGGGACGUGCCCAGUCGUGGGGGAUAACGUAGUGAAAAUUACGCUAAUACCGCAUACGAUCUAUGGAUGAAAGCGGGGGAUCGCAAGACCUCGCGCGAUUGGAGCGGCCGAUAUCAGAUUAGGUAGUUGGUGGGGUAACGGCCCACCAAGCCAACGAUCUGUAGCUGGUCUGAGAGGACGACCAGCCACACUGGAACUGAGACACGGUCCAGACUCCUACGGGAGGCAGCAGUGGGGAAUUUUGGACAAUGGGCGAAAGCCUGAUCCAGCCAUUCCGCGUGCAGGAUGAAGGCCCUCGGGUUGUAAACUGCUUUUGUACAGAACGAAAAGGUUUCUACUAAUACUAGGAGCUCAUGACGGUACUGUAAGAAUAAGCACCGGCUAACUACGUGCCAGCCGCCGCGGUAA